rnacentral:rRNA from 1 species
GACGAACGCCUGCUCCUUUCUUAACACAUUCAAGUCGAACGUAAAGGCCCUGCUUUUUUGUUUUGCUCGAGUGGCGAACGGGUGAGUAACACGUGAGUAACCUGCCCUUGACUUUGGGAUAACUUCAGGAAACUGGGGCUAAUACCGGAUAGGAGCUCCUGCUGCAUGGUGGGGGUUGGAAAGUUUCGGCGGUUGGGGAUGGACUCGCGGCUUAUCAGCUUGUUGGUGGGGUAGUGGCUUACCAAGGCUUUGACUUGUAGCCGGCCUGAGAGGGUGACCGGCCACAUUGGGACUGAGAUACGGCCCAGACUCCUACGGGAGGCAGCAGUGGGGAAUAUUGCACAAUGGGCGGAAGCCUGAUGCAGCAACGCCGCGUGCGGGAUGAAGGCAGUCGGGUUGUAAACCGCUUUAGCCUGUGACGAAGCGUGAGUGACGGUAAUGGGUAAAGAAGCACAGGCUAACUACGGG